GACAUCUUAGCAACCUUUGUGUUAAAAGUUGUAUUAGUCUUAAUAUUCAAUUUUGUAGCAAAAACAUUACCUAAAUUCCGAACUGUAAAAAUUACAUUUAAUGAAAAAGUCGCGAUGUCCAAUAUACUAAAAUUUUGAUCAUUUCUCUUUGAUUAGUUCCAGGCCUGCCUCCAGCAUCUACAAAUCAAGGACUUCGUUGCCGAAUACAUCCUAGACAAGCAUGGGAUAAGUGUCUGCCCAUGGAUCCAGACCAUAAUAUCUCCAUCAUCGUCAGAAUAAUGGUUGCCGAUAUGAAAAGUAAUCGAUGAAGAACACCGCCGAGUGAGGUUGUCAAAUUAUACUGAAUUCGUCCAGGAGCCAGGAUCAUCACUGCUUAUUAUCAAGGCCAGUCGACGGUCCUUGGGCAAGGAAGGCGAUCAUAUUCCUUGAACGGGUCAUUCAGACAGAAUUGGUGUAACGGGUCGUGGCACUUCAGCAAAGCUUCCGAAAAAUUUGAUACUGGAUUUAUUUUGUACCAACGAUUCCAAAAAUAUUGUAUA